UCCGCGUCGCUUGGUGACACUGGGAGUCAAGGUGAUGAUGACGUGUUGAGCCGGUAUAAAAGCAGAAGCCAACGCUCGAAUUUUGUUUUCACAUGAGAGUGCUAAGAGGAGCUUUUCUAACUAGUGCUGUGAAAACUCGCAUUUUACCAGCGACUCUGAAAGUUUUCCAAACUUGAAGAAUAGGACAACUGAAGCACCCAAAAUGGCCACCCCUGGAUUACAGCGUCAGCAAUACCUGCUGUCCCUUGGUAUCAACCGCAUACUUGACGGCCGCUAUGCUGACCUGGUGAAGCCACUUAGUGUGCGUCAAAUGGUUGUCACCAACCUGAGGAAACGUCCUUUGAGCCCCAGCCAUUUGGACUCUAUGAAAGACCUGGUCCUCUCCCUUUACCAUCACCUGGUUACGGGGUCCAAGGAUUUUCCUCACGUCGCAUUCAGGGGACACCUUGACACAGACGAGCUGGAAACAACGUUUAGACCUGUGCUGCAGAGUCGGAGGGAAAACACCACUCCAUCUCCUCUUACCGACUCACCAGAUGGAAUGGUGGUGCUGCCUGCAGGGUCCCGCCUGACAUCUCAGAUCCUGACUCCGGUCCUUCCUGACAAGGCGAAUAUUUUUGUGCUGAAGGCAGACCGGAGGAACUGUGUCCGCACCCUGGAGGUCAACGGCCUCACCGUCAACAGAGUCAUAUCUGCUGUGUAUCGCACAGAAGACUGUGACACUGAGAUGACAAACAUCUGGAGGGUCACUGACUACAGCUCAGAGGGCAACGUCAUCAUGUCAGUGCUCUGCCGCUUCCGGAGGAUGUUUGCACAGCGUGCAAAAAGAAAGGCGACAGAGGAGAAAAGCAGCAGCAGGAGCCCCGCUCCACCAAGGAAGCGCUUCAGACUCUAAUCAAGAUCGAAGCCUUUCCUGGAGAACUUAUUUUCUCCAAACUUUUGUACAUAUGUAUAUAGUUCUUUGUUAUUGUUGAGAAACACAGGUCAGUGUUUUCAGUGCCUCUUGCACUUUUCGUUAUUUCUUGUUGCUGGCCUGUGUUUUUGAUAUUACUAUGAGGAUUACAAAAUGACUUUAUUAUAUAAUCUAUGCAAAUGAACUAAGGAUCCAUGAAGACAGUGGCAAGGAUAAAUUAUUCUCUGCUGCAUCUCACACAUCAGCAAGAACCAACACAGUGAAUCUGGUGAAAAGGAGAAACAAAAAGAGACACACCACAAACGAGUUUCCCUGACUAACAUGAGAGGAGCAGUAACUGCAUAAGGAGGAAGAAACAGAAGCAUCCAAAGACAACUGAGAGUCUUCAGUGCACCGUGAACAGCAGUCACCUCAGAGCAACAGAGUCCUGGUGGCUGUCUGGGUUCUCUCCAGGAGCUUGGAGAUAAGAUACCAUAACUUAAAAAAAAUGUUUAGAAUAAGUGUGAGCCUCUUUUACAACUUUACUUACAUCCUUCAAAUGUAAGAGCUGCUGGCACGUCUGGUGAGGGUUUGCCCACACCUAAUCUAAACCGAGCUUUAGUCCCUCUCGUACUUUGUUGAGUAUUGGCUUCAGCUGCACCAGUGCCUGCAAUGUGAGGUCAUUAAUAGACAGGGAGGAAAUAAUAGUUGAAUUAAUUCUGAAUGAAGACGUCAUGCCAAAUAUUCUUUGAUAGCCAUUACAGUCAUGAAUACACAGACUUUAUGAUUGCUUUUUUUCUUGUCAACAUGUAUUGUUCCCAAAUAACCACGGGCCACAACUGGAUCAGAUAGUUCCAUCAUUUCUCUUCAUCUGCAUUUUCGAUCUGAAAGCAGAAACAACAAUAACGAGGAGAAAUGGAAUUUUUAUAUUUAAGAACGAGGACUGUGUGGAGGAGAGCCGAGUCAGGUGACAGGUUGUUCACCUGAUCAACAAGCUGGAGUCAGAACCUGUGAUUUAUCCUCCCUGACUAUUGAGUUAUGUUUUAUGCUGAUGUUAUUUUCUUGUUUUGAGCCAAACCAGAUUUCUCUAUAGGAACUCUGUGUUAAAGGGUCAAUGCACCAAAUUAUGCUUUGAUAAGAGUUCAUUUCUCAUGCAAGGAAAGACACAAACUUCUCAGAGGGAUUAGUAGUGGGCACAAGUUAAAUGAGCUCAUAUCACUACGUUGGCUUUAUCAGCCCUGCACAGAACAGAUCGGUCUCAGACUUUUAGAUUCUCUUAAAUAAGUAGAAUCUGAAACUGAAGGUUUUAGAUUAAAUCUGAUUCCUAAAUCAAGAAGUAAAGCUUAAAGAAUAACCUAAGUUUGUAAUUUGGAACAAAGUUGUGUUAACUAAAACUAUCUUGAACUAAGGAAGGUUAAGUGUGACCUUCUUAGCUGCAAACCUAGAACUGGUCUAGUAGCUUUUAUAUCUGUCUUACUGUGACAUAAGUGCUGCAAAAGGGGUUUAUUUCUCUCUCUCUAUCUCUCAGUCCCUCUCUCCAAUUUUACCGUAUUUUCUCUAUAUAUGAUGUAGGUUUGGAUUUUCCCUGCUAAAUUGUGAUGGUCUGGCAGUCUCCAUCGGUCGAGCUGCCUCGUGCCAGUUUAUGGGCGUCAUCAGGCCGGAAGGUGUUUCCCGUGUUGAAGCCGCCACACCUGUCUUCCAUCUAGAUUGGCCACUACUUAACUGAGCUUCAGUCAACGCUGGAUCGUUGAGUUACCGAGAACUUGGAGAGGAGUGUGUCAGAGGAGCGAAGGAUUUGUAAAUGUCGAGUGUUGGAGUUGUUUGCCUGUCACACCUGGACCACGAGCACAGUCCUGCAGGAUGGGAAAGUCCUGCAUUGGGGCCUCGUUCUCACCACGCACCUUAACAUUGUCUGAGCCUGAGCCUUUUCAAGGUUCUGUUUUGCCAACUGACCCGCUACAUACAGUCUGUGCCAAAAACCAUUAACGUAAUCUAUCAAGUUCACUGGUGGUUCACCUGAUAACCACUUAUCGCACAGCACUGUCAAGGGUCCCUGAACUUUGUGGCCAAAGACCAAAUCAUUUGGGCUAAACCCAGUACUCUCCUGGCACACUUCUCACGCUGCCAACAGAAGCCACGGCAAACCUUCCUCCCAGUCACUCUUCAUUUCUGUGCAACAGGCACGUAACAAGGACUUCAGCAUUUGAUGGACGCGCUCUAAAGCACCUUGGCUCUGUGGAUGAUAAGGAGAGGCUUUGUUAUGUGUGAUGUUCAACAGCUUGAGAACUUGUGGAAAUAGAUUUGACGAAAAGUUUGAUCCCUGGUCACUCUGAAUAAUCUUCGGUAUGCCAAAUAAUAAACACUUUGAUUGAGAACCUGCAUUUUGUGUUUACUAAGAAUCGUUUUGGAAAUGUAAUUAAUGAUCAAAUGGUAUCAACAACAACAAUAAUAGUAAUAAUAAUGGUCCUAAGACUGAUAAUGAUUACUAUUAGUAUUAAAAGUUUCACUUUCUCCACUUCACCAUGAAGUAAACUUGUUUAUUUGCAAAGAGAAAUAGAGGCAUGGCAGUAUAUGGAUGAUUCAGAUUCAGAAGGUGAGGACCAAUUCAAACUUUUUAUAUUUUGUGUUUAUUGGUUCUUGGAACAUUCAGAGAAUACUCUGAUCACAUUAUUGAAGUUUACAGAUACAGUUACAGUACAUCUGUAUGUGCACAGCUGUGGUCCAGUGUAGUUAUGUGGAGCCUCAGCAAAGACGAAUAUUGUCAGAAACGUCAGUGUUAUUGUUUCACUGGAUUUAAAAAAAAAUGUAUUUAAUAUAACUGAAAAUGAAUAGGAAACCUAUAACAGAUGAUUCAACACAUUAACCUUAAUAAGCAAUCGUACUGGCAAUGAUUGCUCGCACUAAGUCAGUCAUCCAUCAAGAAUGCAGUGUUUAUUUAAGGUUUUGUUUCUUUUAUUACACUCUCAGCUGACAUGCGGUUUUCAAACAUUACCUUUAAACUGUUUAAUAUAGCGGUCAUGCCAUCCACUCACCUUUUAUCUUUAAUAGUUUUUGAGAUGUUGGUGAAAAAAGUGUUCAUGACAGUGCAGAUUUCUGGCAUUUUGUGUAAAUUUAAGCACGUAAGAAUUGGAUUAUUUCUAAUAAAAACAGAAUGUGAAACUGA